UAAAUUCCUUUGGAGCAAUGUCUUGCUGCUUUGUUUUUCCUAAAUGGUUCACUAUUUUACCUUUUUAUUAAUAAUGUACAAGGAUUUCAAUUUCUAUACAUUUAUUUUAAAAUUAUUUUUGAAAGUAGCCGAACAGGUGAUACUCUUACUGUGAUUUUGAUUUUACUUCUCAUUUGAUUAUGGUGAUGAAGACCCGUCAAAACUGAACUAAAGAUAACUUAAAGGGCAGCACCUGGAGCAAAUUUGGAAUAAUUUGAAUGCUAGCAUAGAUAAUAAAAUAGUUAUAUAUCACUGAAUAAAAUAACAAAUUACAAAUCUAUAAUAAUGUGGCACAUGAGUAAUAAAAAUAGUGAUGAAGUACAAAAUGGUUAUCAAACUAAAAUGACAAAUGAGUGGCUAAAAAAACAUAGAGUCUUGGGUUAUACUCUUUCAAUAAAUUGAUCGAAUAUCAUCGGAAGUAGGUUAAUUCAGAGGCUGGCAAAUCGGCAUGUGCAUAUCAUUCCAACUAAGGGAAGGCCGAAGCAAGAGCAUGGCACAUUGGAAGCCAGACUGCCUCAUAUGUUAAGACUUUGUCUCAGAAAAGUGAGGCUGACUUUUUUAGAUGCCUAUUUUUAUCCUAAUGAAAGAAAGACAAAAAAAAAGAGUGUGGAUUUGGAUUGGUAAGGAAGUGGGGAGAAUGUUUGAGGAGCUGGAGGAGAGAAAAUGGGAAACCACAAUCAGAAUAUAUUAUAUUAAAAAAUACUUUUUCAAUUGUUUUUAAAAAAGAAAGAAAAAGCAAGACUGAGAGUAUAGUUCAAUGGUAGAACACUGGCCUAGCAUGCUCAAGGACCUGAAUUUCAUUCCAAGUACAGAAAAUAAUAAACAAACAAAGAGAAAAAUAAUAAUUGAACAAUGAAAUAUCAUUUCUGCCUUAUCCGCAACCAUAAACACAAACAUAACCAUGAGAAAACUCUAGAAAAUCUAAAAUUUAAGGUUAUUAAGGCAAUCACUGAAUGCAAUCUUUGGAAGUUUUCAUGUGAUGAAAAAAAAAGAAACAAACAAAACACACACAAAAGGAAGUUUUUUCCAGACAGAGAGAUUGACAAGAGAAGAAAAUUGUAAAUGCAAAGCUUGAUUCUGAAUAAUUCUGAAUUUGAAUCCUUUGUGAUUAAGAUUCAGAUGAUCACUCUCUGCAAAAGCUUGGUUGGGAAAUGAUGUUUGUAUGUGUUCAUUACAGGAAUUACAGUGUGCAUUCCUUGGUUUGGGAGAAUACUUUGUGUUCACACAGAAGAAUGUAUUUGCUUGUAUGGGAAAACUGAGAUAUUUGAUAGUCCUGUAUUGCAACUUACUCCUGCGUGGUUAGAAAAGGCCACUGUACUUUAGCUUUCCCGUAAGUCCAAGAAAACGGUACAAAUAUUGCCAGGGAAGAUAGAUGAGCUAUGAUCAAGAGAAAAGUAAGAGUGAUUAUUUGGGUCAUGGAGAAAAUUAGAGAUAAACCUUGCAGGGUUUCUAAAGGGAUGGAUGUUCGUAUUGGGCAAUCGGUCACUCCCUGGAAGUUGGCUGCUUUAGAACAAUGAUCUUGAUCAGGUGGGAGAAUGGGAGAUAAUGAGUUAAGGAAAGGAAAGUCUCUUCUGACUCUGGUGUUCUUUCUUCUCUGAAUAGACACAGUAACAAGGUCACCAGAAAAAGAAAAGAAGCAAGGUUCUCUUCAGAGUGGAAAGGGAAGCAUUGGAGCUGUGACAUGUGUGAUAGGAAGGAGACCAGGAACAGAACAGGUUCUCAAUACAAGCCUGUUACAAAAGGCUAAAUUGUGGGACAUCAGAAUGAAUGCAUACAGAAUGGCUCAUCCCAAUGAGUGAAGACUUCUUCAGCAUGAAGACUCCUGUAGCCUACGGUCAUAUGUCCCAUUUGGUUUUCCUUAUCGCUGUGCCUGCUUCACUCCUUAUAGUGUACUAAAUAAACUUGUCUUCCUUUUGGAAUAAA